UUCACAGCCCCAGCUGCUGAGGUAAUGCUAGUUUUGCUGCUGCUGCCAGGACUCAACUGUCUCUGAGGUGAAAGUUCUUGAAACCGUGGGUCCGAGCUCAUGAGGCAGCAGCUGGUGUGAGCCAGUUUGCCCCAGAAGCGCCCUGCACUUUCACCUCACCUGGCACCCGGAGUAUGAAGGGUGCCUGCAGAGCGUCUGGCAUCUCGGCAGCGGUGGCUCAAGCGAUUACGGCUCUGGGUUGUCGAUCAGAGGAUCAGGGGUCAAUCUGCCACUGUUGGGCCCUUGAGCAAGGCCCUUAUUAACCCUCUCUGCUACAGGGACUCUGUAUCAUGGCCGACCCUGCGCUCCGACCCCGACCUCCAAAGCUGGGAUAUCCGAAGUUGCAACAAUACAAAUGCGGAAGAAGCUGAAGGGAUGAAUACUUAUGCACAGAGUUCUUUUAAAAACUCCUAGCUAAAGAUUCAUCUGUAUUCAGGGCCUGUACGAAAGAGUACUUACUUAAAAGCAAAUAACAACAAAACUAUCAAACUCUUUAAUAAAAACGUGUGUGUGCGCUGCG